GUUUUGUUUAUUUUGUUUUGUUGCAUUGCUGUGAUUCCUUCCCACUCACUUCAUGGUCAGACGUGCCAAAUCCGCGGAAAAAAACGCAGAAAUUGGGCUUGUUUUUGACUUAAUUGGCUUGGGGCCACCAUGAUGCCUGAGGAAAUCUGAGAAUCCAUCCCUCCGCCUCCACUCUCCCACUGUUUGAUAUAGAGCCCCGGAUAUGAAAUUCACGUCUUAUCUUCCCUGGAGAUUGCUGUGAAGACCAGCAAAAUAGAGAGAUGAUGACAUCAAGAGAAUGAAAAUUAAGCAAUUGGGAGGGAAGGACAAGAAAAAAUGAGAAGGUGAAGGAGACCAGGACGCUAUAAUGAAAAUACCACAAAACUUUCCUUAAUACAUCAUCAUAAUUACAGUCGUGGCUCAAGACUCUCUCAUGUGCUGCACAGUUGAGGAAAAAAUGUUCUUAUUGUGUUUGAGAAAGUAUCUCUCUCAGGCUGCUGACAGUGAAAUUCAAGCAUGGUACCUCAGGAAAAGCGCAAGGAUUAGAAACAAGGCAAGACAAAUUAUCAGAUUAGCUAUAGAAGAUCCAGACUUUCUUCCACUAUUUCCUCCUUAAAAUGGCAAGAUAAAAGAAAACAACAUGAUCUUCAUUAGCAGACAGUCUCUAUUUGAAUAGAUCUGAAUGUUUAAAAUAAUCCUUUUUCAUCUCUUCUGCUUUGGACUAUUCUAGUUAAAGCCACACCUUCAAACA